AACAAACGCUGGCGGCGUGCCUAAUACAUGCAAGUCGAACGGGGAAAGCUUUCGGGUGGGUACUAGUGGCGCACGGGUGAGUAACGCGUGGAUAAUCUGCCUUAGAGUGGGGGAUAACUAGUCGAAAGAUUAGCUAAUACCGCAUAAGACCACAAGAACUGCGGUUCAAGGGGUCAAAGGUUUUUCGCUCUAAGAUGAGUCCGCGUAAGAUUAGCUAGUUGGUGAGGUAAUGGCUCACCAAGGCGACGAUCUUUAACUGGUCUGAGAGGAUGAUCAGUCACACUGGAACUGAGACACGGUCCAGACUCCUACGGGAGGCAGCAGUAGGGAAUAUUGCACAAUGGAGGAAACUCUGAUGCAGCGACGCCGCGUGAGUGAUGAAGGCCUUCGGGUCGUAAAGCUCUGUCGCAAGGGAAUAACACAAUGAAUGUACCUUGCAAGAAAGGAUCGGCUAACUUCGUGCCAGCAGCCGCAGUAAUAC
rnacentral:rRNA from 1 species